AACGGUUAUAAAGCCAUUCCAAUUCUCCAUUUCAUGCAGAGGCAAUUGUUACCAGUUAUAUUUUUCCAGGAGUUUGUCCACUUCCCCUGAGAAUGCGAGUGUAUUGCUGUGUGGUCAUCCGUUACAUGCCUGUUAUCUUUAAUCUCGCGGUGCCCUUUCUUCAUGCCUGACAUCGCUGUGAGCGCCUCGGCUUUCUUCAUGCCUGACAUCGCUGUGAGCGCCUCGGCUCACCUCACUGGGAUCCCCUUCCUGAGCUUCGUUGAUCACUGUGACUGCGGUGACUAUUUUCUAUUUCUUUUCUGUUUCUUAAGCAUUGCCCUUGUCUUACAUUUUCACUCUUCAACUUCACUUGGGUUUCUUCUCUGCCUCCUUUUCUAAUGUCUUGUUUGGAUGUGUAAUCCAACUUCAUCAUUAGUGUCGAGCCUUUUCUCUCCUUCUAAUACAAGCAAUUUAAGGUUAUUAAUUUCCCUCACAUUUCUACUUCAGUUUUGAAGGUGAGAAAACCAAGGCUGAGAAGUUAAGCAGCUUGCUUUAAGUCACAUAAGAAGUUGCAAGACCAGAAUUCCAACCAAAUAGUCUCUAGAACAUGUGCUCUUUUUCGUUAGCUCCAGCGGACUCUCUCAGCCAAAGGUCCGCUUUACAAAUUCAUCGUUGCUGCUUGUUAUGGGUUGAAUUGUGUCCCCCCAAAAUUACGUUGGAGUCCUAAUGCCCGAUACCACAGAAUGUGACCUUAUUCGGAAAUAGGGUCCUUGCAGAUGAGGUCCUAGUGGAAUAGAGGAGAUCCCUAAUCUAAUAUGACUGGUGUCCUUAUAAGAAACUCCACACAAAGAGACAGACAUGCUCCGGGGAGAACGCCAUGUCAAGAUCGGAGCUACGCUGCCAAAGCCAAGAAGCUACCAGAAACUAGGAGAAAGGCCUGGAACAGAUCCUUCCCUCAUCUUCAAGGGAAAUAAGGCCCAGUCAACACGUUGAUUUUGAACUUCCAGCCACCGGAACUGUGAGACAUUCAAUUCCACUUGUUUAAGCCACCCAGUGACAAGAGCACUAGGAGCAGAUUUUGUUCUCAUGAGGGGACUCGGGCGGGGGUGGGGGCUCCGGGAUGGGGGCUGAUCACCAGAAAGACUAAGCCCUGAUUAGAAGCUUGGAGUUUUCAGCCCCAGAGCCCCUUCUCCAGAGAAGAGAGAGGGGCUGGAAAUGGAGUUAAUAAGUGAUCAUGCCUACACGAGGAAGACCCCAUAAAGCCCCAAUAGUACAGGGUUCAGAGAGCUUCCAGGCUGAUGACCAGGCCUGCGUGCUGGGAAAGUGGCGCACCCACAGGCUGGAGGCUCGGUGCCCCUUCCUACACACCGUGCCCGACGCAUCUCUUCCAUCUGAAUGGUCACCUGUAUCCUUUAUCAUAUCCUUCUCUAAUAAACUGGUAAACGGCGAGUAAACUGUUUACUUGCGUUCUGUGAACUGCUCUAGAAAAUUAAUUGAACUGGAGGAGGGGGUCGUGGGAACCUCUUAUUUAUAGCCCAUCGGUCAAAAGCACAGGUGACAACCCGGACUUAAUGAUCGGCACGAUCGUAAGGGACUGAGCUGGAGGGAGGGGCACGGUCUUGAGGGACCGAGGCUUUAACCUGUGGGAUUUGACGCUGUCUCCAGGUACAGAAUCAGAACUGAGUUAAAAGUAGGACACCCAGCUAGUGUGAUAGAACUGCUUGCUGAGGGAAACCAGAAGUGUCAGAAGUGAAGUGUCCUGUGUAAAGGUGAAGGAGACACUUAGGCGGAGUGUAGGUUUUUCUAAUACAACAUGGCAUUUAACUUCUCAUCAGUGUGUUUCUAAAUGCAGGUGACUGAUUAGAGGGUGAUUCUCUAGUCUUCUUUCAAAACACCCCAAGAGUAUUACUGCUGCUUCUCAAAAACCCACAAAACAAAGACUGUUCUUACUGAGAUUAAAUAAAUUAUUGGAAGUGAAUUCUUCUAUUCACCAAAUUAUAAAACAACCCAAAACUAUAAAAUGUGGCAGCUGAGAACCAUUCCUCCAGAAUCUGACAGCCAGGGACCACACCUCCUCUAGUGUUCCAGGAAAUCUCACGCUCCUGGGGCCAUGCAGCAAACCCCCAGCUGACACUGUGCCAGCCCAGAGAGGGGCACAGCACAGCAGGAUAACAAUCAAACGGUACCCAUCUAGAAAAAUCCCAAGUUCUGCUUAAACAAGGUGGAGUAGAUACAAUAUUUUAUCUCCACUUCAUCCCCAAAUCCCAUUAAAAUGACAGUCAAAGAAUAAAUACCAUAAAAAUCCACAAGGACAAAGGAAAAAGAAAACGAGAUGACAGUGGAAGAUGAAAAGCAUGUAGGAGAAGGGAGCUGACCCGGGAGGGUCGAGAGAAUGGAAGCCAGGCCUGUGGGGGUGAGGAUGGGCUAUCCAGCCGAAAGUAAGAGAAUUCG
rnacentral:lncRNA from 1 species